GUGGCAUUCCUGCCCAUUAUUCAGCCCGUUUGGCCGCAGGCAGAGGUGCACUUCCGGAGGCCUUUUAACCUGACAAACGGGUCACAGGAAUCCUUGUUUCGCAGAUCCUGGAAAUCAUCUCCAAAGAUCGACGCGAGAGCUUCUAGUUCAUUUUCCUGCUGCACUGUGUAGUCGUCUGUCCCAUCCGAAGGUGUAUGCUGACUGCUCAUUCUUCUGUCUCAACUACAUGGCAGUGUCCCCUGUCCCGUCUCAUUUCCGUCCAAAAGAAAGAGGAAUAAGUUCGGUACACCGCUUUGCUGCGGUCUGACGCAACCUCAGAACUUUAACUGUGGAUAAAAUAAAAACGUGUUGGUUUAAAGCAGCGUCUCGUUGUGUUUUUUAGUUUUAUAACACUGUCGAAUGGCGAGCAACAACAACGUUGCAGUUUGCGCAUGUCUGUUAGGAGCAGCCUGCCUGCGUCGCAGGUCAACGUCAUCACGCUGCUGCCCCAAUAACGGCGCUAGGAGGCAGCAGUAACCACGCCGUGGUGAUGUUUGUGGCGUUUGUAAUCAGCCCAACAGCACCUAAUAAACACGCACACAGGGCGAGAGAGCCUUUCAUAUAGUCAUAGAAAUUCUUUUUAAAAAGGUACACCCUCUUGUUUUAAACUGGAAAGGCAUCCGUGUAUUUUUGUUUCAUAAUAAAUGCAUUAACUAAUAAAAAACAUGAAAUAAAAACCAAAUAUAACUAGCAACAGAAUAGAAAUGCAAAUAUUUUGUAGAUGUUUGUUCUUUGUCUAAAUAAACGUUUAAUUCAA